rnacentral:lncRNA from 1 species
CAGACAUGUACGCCGAAAGAGCCAGCACAAGCGAAGAUGACUCCCAAGUCCAACCAUUCAAUGACAUCCAUGAGGUAGAGUGGUUCGAUUUCGAGGCAGGCAGCAGCUGCUCGGGUGCCAGAAGUCCUCAUCGCACUCCAAACACUGACACUUCUGAAACGUAAUGAUAUCACGUUUUACUGCAUGUUGAGUUAUGGAAACCAAGCUUUGUAAAGUGCUACCCAAUGCAUAACUUUGUGCUAUCACUCCUGCAGGUCACAACAGACAGAUACACAGGAAACAGAAGUGGGGGCGCCAAAUAGAAGGCAAGGAAGUUGCUGUGAAAUGUGGUGUGUUCAAAUCGUUGGAGGUCUACACAAUAAUUUCAAUAUUUGCGCAGUGCAUCAAGGUCACGAAAAUGUCGAAGGACUUCAAGAAGCCAGACGACUCCUUGUGACGAUGACUGUGGCAGCUGAAUGUCUGAGCCACAUAAAGGCAUCAC